rnacentral:misc_RNA from 1 species
AACGCACAUUGCGCCCUUUGGUCUUCCAUGGGGCAUGCCUGUUCGAGCGUCAUUCAAACCUUCAAGCUCCCGCUUGGUGUUGGGCGCUUGUCCCGCCCGCGUGCGUGGACUCGCCUUAAAACUAUCGGCGUCGACGUGUCGGCCUCGAGCGCAGCAGAAGAGUCGCUCCGGGACCUGGCGCUACGGCUUGCCGUAAAACGACCACCCAAUUCUUGACCUCGGAUCAGGUAGGGAUACCCGCUGAACUUAA